rnacentral:rRNA from 1 species
UACGUAGGGGGGCAAGCGUUGUCCGGAAUCAUUGGGCGUAAAGAGCGUGUAGGCGGUUCGGUAAGUCUGCUGUGAAAGUCCAGGGCUCAACCCUGGAAAGCCGGUGGAUACUGUCGGACUAGAGUGCGGAAGAGGCGAGUGGAAUUCCCGGUGUAGCGGUGAAAUGCGCAGAUAUCGGGAGGAACACCUAUUGCGAAGGCAGCUCGCUGGGACGUUACUGACGCUGAGACGCGAAAGCGUGGGGAGCAAACAGG